CUCUCUCGAGUGAAUUGUGUAUAAGUGAAGUGGUGUAAACUAGGGGCAAUAUGAACUACGAAACAACUGUAAAUGUUAAAAAAUUCAAUCAUAAAACAUCAAAUCAUUCACCGUAAUUAAAAUUUACAAGUUAAAUAAUUAAAUAGCAAACAAAAAUGAAACAAAUUCAGAUGGCAUUAUGGAUGGCAGCAAUCAGCACUUUUUUAUUUACACUACUUCUCUAUCAGUGGUAUCAUAUAUCGAAAUAUCACACAAUUCAACCUGACUUUAAAACCUUAACUUCAGUAGAACAACGAGUCAAGAAAAUUAUAAAACAAGAGUAUAUAGUAGAUACGGCCGGAUGUCAAAUUCCAAUAUCGGUGUUAAAUUUCAAGAAACACCCAUUAAGAAGCAGAAGUAUCGAGUGUGGGAAACGCGCUGUAUUGUUAAAGAAAUUUGGC